rnacentral:misc_RNA from 1 species
GAACGCACAUUGCGCCCGCCGGCAUUCCGGCGGGCAUGCCUGUCCGAGCGUCAUUUCAACCCUCAGGGUCCUCCGCCUAGCGCGGCCGGGCCCUGGUGUUGGGGAUCGGCCCGCCCCGCGCGGCGCCGUCCCCUAAAAUCAGUGGCGGUCCCGCCGCAGCCUCCCCUGCGCAGUAGUUACCAACUCGCACUGGAGCGCGGCGCGGCCAUGCCGUAAAACCCCCGACUUCUGGAAAGUUGACCUCGGAUCAGGUAGGAAUACCCGCUGAACUUAAG